GAUUUUUAACAUACUGUGGUAUUUUAUAGAAGAAAGGCUAAAGAAUCUGGCUUGCUCUUUUUCUCAGGGUAAUGAUCCAAUAAGUUGAAGGAAAUCCUGCCCAAAGGAGGAAUAAUGAAGUGGAUGGCAUGAAGAUGAAGGCCAGGGGGUGCUGGAGUCCAGGAUCUCUUUAAAGCAGUUCAUGUGCUCUGGACUCUCACAGAUGUCAGGAGUCUGGAAUGGCAGGUGGUACUUUAGAGCCCAUAAGACAGCAUGGGCUACAACAGGCACGUUUAAAACAGGCACGACCGGCCUCUAGCAAGAUGUGCUAGGUGAAGUUUCACUAUUGGAGAGUGAGACUAGAAAUGAGCCCGAACAAAUCAGUAGUAGCAGAUGAUCCAAGAGGAGGUGUUUUCUGCUGCCCCUCAAUGGAAUUACAAAGUAAGCAAAGAGAUUAUGUCUCCCAAGAUGAUGUCAAUACAGCUCAGUGUCAGGAAUCUCACGCUCAGGCCUGGUACAGCCUCAUACCAGAAGAAAAAGCAGAUUCUGACACCAACAAUUCUUACUUGAGUCCAUUUUCAAACACUCCAGUGAUGCAGAACAAACGAAAAUAGCCAUGUCAUCUCAUCCCAAUAAGCUGUUGGAUUUUUUUGGCAUUCUCAGGCUUGUACUCAGAAGUAUAGGAAAGCAAGAGCCCUUGUUAAUUCUUUC
rnacentral:lncRNA from 1 species